GAAUAAUCGGGCUCCGCCGGCUCACAGCGGAUGUCAGAAGGUUGCUGGCAGAGGUGGUUGGGGCUAUGUGCCUGGAGUGAAGAUUCUGCCCAUUGGUCAAGAGACCUCCCUCUCAGAUGCUGGCUCUGCCCCUGCCUUUGGGGGUCGACCCUUGUACUCGCAGGACCUUAGGUGACUCUGACUUUGUCAAAGGAAAAAUUUCUGCAUGUGCACACACAGAUCUUGGAAGUUUAUUCAUCUCAGCAGAGGCAGACAGGAGCAUCAACAGCCUUGGGGACAGCAGCAGUGGUGGUGGAGUCUGACUCUGUCGCCCAGGCUGAAGUGCAGUGGCACAAUCUCGGCUCACUGCAACCUCCGCCUCCCGGGUCCAAGCCAUUCUUGUGCCUUAGCCUCCUGAGUAGCUGGGAUUGAAGGUGUGCACCACUACACCCUGCUAAUUUUGGAAUUUUUAUUAGGUUGGUGCAAAAGUAAUUGUGAUUUUGCCAUUACUUUGGCAAAAACCACAACUACUUUUGCACCAACCUAAUAUUAUAGAUGGGGUUUCACCAUGUUGCCCAGGCUGGUCUCAAACUCCUGACCUCAAGCAAUCCACCCACUUCGGCCUCCCAAAGUGCUGGGAUUACAGGCGUGAGCCACUUUUUUUUCCCACAUUAUUUUCUGUACUUUAAAAUAACACAACUGAUAACAUCAUGUAUAUUCAAUUUUAUGCCUCCUUUUUUUCACUGAAUAUUAUAACACAAGACAUUCCCCAUAUCAAGAGCUCCGCACAAAGAUGCUUUUAAGUUGCUGCUUAACACUCUAUUCUGAGGAUAUGCCAGACAUGAUCUAAUCAUUCUCAUAUUAAUCAUUUUGACAGUUUACUAUUUUUGCUGUUAUACUUAAAACUGCAGUGAAUAUCAUUGUAUAUAAAGACUCCUACUUUAGAUUCCUAGAAAUUCAAUUCUGAGCCAAAAGUAUGAACUUUUUAGUGAGAAUUUUUUCACCAGAUUAUGAGGAUUAUGUUGGCUUGCUGUAACAAUUUGGCUCUAUUUUGAUUAUUUUUAUUUAGCUUGUAUUUAGGGAAGCCAAUUUUUAGUCUCUAAAAUAGGGGUCUGUCCAUAAUGACAUCAGUCAGAGACUAUUGGAGUUGCUAGACAUGUAGGCUCUUCUCUUUUUUUGAGAAGGAGUUUUGCUCUUGUUGCCCAG
rnacentral:lncRNA from 10 species